UACGAAGGGGGGCUAGCGUUGCUCGGAAUUACUGGGCGUAAAGGGCGCGUAGGCGGUUCUAUAAGUCAGGCGUGAAAUUCCUGGGCUUAACCUGGGGGCUGCGCUUGAGACUGUGGGACUUGAGGUCAGAAGAGGGUCGUGGAAUUCCCAGUGUAGAGGUGAAAUUCGUAGAUAUUGGGAAGAACACCGGUGGCGAAGGCGGCGACCUGGUCUGAUACUGACGCUGAGGUGCGAAAGCCAGGGGAGCGAACGGG
rnacentral:rRNA from 1 species